GAGCUCAACUUGGCAGUAUGUUUUCUAAAAUUGGAAUGAUACAGAGAUUAACUUCUUGCCCAUUGCAAGGAUGACAUGAAAAUUUUUGAAUUGGUCCGUAUUUUU
rnacentral:snRNA from 1 species